rnacentral:misc_RNA from 1 species
ACUACCAGCCGUUAUACGCCAUCAACAUGGUCCUCGUGGAUGUCAUGGUCGUCGGAUUAUAAUGAUUAUGAUGACGACGACAGCUCCGCCGGCACAGUUGUGCAAGUAUUAGUUGGUAUAUUUAUCAUAUUCGCGAUUCUGAUCAGUUGUGUUUGUGCAAAAUUUAAAGCCCAUGGAAGAAGUUCGACUCCCAAACCUCAGUACGGUGCACCUGUCGUUGUACAGUACCAUUUCCAUGCUCAACAUGGGAACCAGCUUGCGAAUCAAACUCAGAAUUCCCCAAACCAGGCAACAAGUUUGAUGCAGUAUCCGCCCAAUCAGCCCGGUAUCCAGCCGCAGCAACAAUAUACACCAGAUCCGUCAGUGUAUGCAGGGUACCAAGUACAAAAACCCGUAUAUCAACAAGUACCAAUGGUCGGAAACCAGCCUGCCUUGACCCCUCAAGCUUAUGAUCCGCCCGAUUCAGAUCCUCCGCCUCCAUAUCCCGGAUAUUGAGCGACACGUGAUAGUGGUACACCGUCAGUGCUACGUUUACCAACUACGGACAUAUAUGUAACUGACGCAGUUUCAUUCCGUUUAUUUAUUCUAGCACUGGUGUGAUGCCAAUGGCAUAUAUGCACAACAUUACGAAACAGGCACCCUUGCAUCCGCUCUAAACCCCGAACAACCGCCAAACCAUAGUUCAGUGUCGGUUUGAACGGGAUUUCGUUUUACAGGGUUAUUCGGUUUAAAGGGGUGUUGUUAGUGGAUUGCAUACUACCCUUAUAUGAUAAGCCUUAACCAUGAUACGAUUCAAAUCAUGUCCCUAUCUAGGUAGAUAGAUAGAUAUUUAUUCAGGUUAAACACACACAUUUACAAAUCAUGUUCCUAUCUAGGUAAAUAGAGAGAUAUAUAUCCAGGUUAAAACACACAUUUACAAAUCAUGUCCCUAUCUAGGUAGAUAGAGAGAUAUAUAUCCAGGUUAAACACACAUUUACAAAUCAUGUCCCUAUCUAGGUAGAUAGAGAGAUAUAUAUCCAGGUUAAAACACACAUUUACAAAUCAUGUCCCUAUCUAGGUAGAUAGAGAGAUAUAUAUCCAGGUUAAAACACACAUUUACAAAUCAUGUCCCUAUCUAGGUAGAUAGAGAGAUAUAUAUCCAGGUUAAACACACAUUUACAAAUCAUGUCCCUAUCAAGGUAGAUAGAGAGAUAUUUAUCCAGGUUAAAACACACAUUUACAAAUUAUGUUCCUAUCUAGGUAGAUAGAGAGAGAUAUAUCCAGGUUAAACACACAUUUAUAAAUCAUGUCCCUAUCAAGGUAGAUAGAGAGAUAUAUAUCCAGGUUAAAACACACAUUUACAAAUCAUGUCCCUAUCUGGGUAGAUAGAGAGAUAUUUAUCCAGGUUAAAACACACAUUUACAAAUCAUGAGCACAGUAAUUUACACAGUAUAAAAGUUCUUAUACUUAGUUAAAGCAUUUGAUGUCGCAAAUAAUUAAAAUCACAUUGCAGGAAUAAAAUGCCUAGAUCAUUUUGUCUAAAAAACUCUGAGAGUGGUAACAAAGAUAAUCACAAUUAAAUUUUUGUCACAGGUCUCAGGUUAAGAGAGUUAUAACUAAUCAUACUAUAUCUGUUACUAGUACAUAAUAUAAUUAGGAAUACACACAUUUUAAUAUUAUUUCAAGACUAGAUAAGUCAUUCUAGCAUAAAACUGCUGUUCUUGUCCAUUUUCGGGGGUGUUUUAACAAGGAAGAAAACGUGAUUCCCGCGCUCACGUGCUGUUAUAAUACCUUUUUAUAUAUGGGCGUUCCGCGGCAAAGCGUAAACGUCAAAUGGAAAUGACGUCAUCGUGAAAAAACGUCUAAGAUCUUCCCGGGCAUUUCAUAGAAAUUUAAAAACGUUGAGGAAGAAUGUAUUCAUUUUUAAGUUUUUUUUUUCGCGUUUUAUGCUAGAAUAGCGUUAGUGUAUGUUCAUUUCGUGUUAUAACAUCAUCAGAAUCCCUCUGGAUACGCCUUACGGGCUCGGGCACCAAUCAGUCCCUCUGUAUUCUGCAGACGUUAUAACACAAAAAACAUGCGUUAUCCCUAAACAAAUAAAACUCUAGGUUCUAUCUAUGCAAUAUUAAUAAUAGAACGAAUACAGUCAGGCAUAUAUGCAGCCGAAUUGUCUCAAAAGAUUGUUUAUUUUUCACGACCGUCUUUGUGUUGAUAAGUUGUCACCCAAGAACCGUAAUGUUCUAUGUGUAUUUUUCUUGUUUUUGAGAAAACCAAGUUUGAAGUUUCAGGAGUUUACAACAUUUUUGUUUGUUGACGAAUUCUAACAGACAUUGGUAUGUGUUUUAUUUAGUUAGUUCCAAGGAAAGCUACGAAAUAUAAAGAAUCGUGAAUUCAGACAUACCGCACUGGAAGUUUGUCCAGUGCAGAUAGAAUAUUCUACAAAAUUGUAAUCGCCGUUCCACUCAGAACCAUAAUGUUCUUUGCAUUUUCCAUUCCUGCCUAUGAGCAAAUUCAGUUAAACCGAGGUUGCAGUUUCACUGUCUGAUUUGGUCUCUCUCAGUGCUUUCGAAGAAAGCAUUGAAGUGUUACAUCGAAGUGAAUUACUUUUGUCCAAAUACGUUCUCAUCCGAUUUAUUACAGCACUCAUGUUUCACAAUUUUUAAUUAAACGUACCAUUCCUAAAGCAGGACAAAUGGACAAGUAUGUAUGAGUUUGGAAUUAAAAAUGAUUACUUACAUUUAGACUACUGCUAUUUGGGAACUUGAAAAUUUAUUUGCAAUUUUACUUGUUAACUUCUACAUGGCACAAAACAACAAUUAUUUUUACUAUAUGUUUUAUAUAGACACUGGACACUAUUGCAAUUUUGCAUGCAUUCCAAACCCCCUAAAAGUACUGAACUUAAUUGACCGGCUCUUUUUUCCACCAUUUUGAACCAAAUCACAUGCGUACGAAGAAUACCAGGAGGUCUAGAGGACCGCAGAAAGGCAAACCUUGCCCUGUCAAAAAGUCACGUUAUGCAUAUUCUGACAUUCUCAUUCUGUCAAAUUGUACAUUUACCUACUAUUUCACAUUUCCUGUAUUCAAUUAUGUCAUCUAUUGCAGGUCUUUCACUCAAAAAUUCACCAAUAUUCACCAUCAAACUAUUUUCCGCGUAACCAUUUCCUUAUUGUGCAAUCCAUUGGUUACCACGCAGAUAGAACAUUUUUGUAGUCAGGAAAACAUGAAAAUUGCAGAUAGAACGAAAAGGCUGUGUUAAUAUCUAAAAAUAGAAAUGUCCCGAAAGAGGACCAGGUCACUGUGACUCAGGUCUCACUUUCCAAUGGUAUAUAAUACUCAUUUUGGCCAAAAUGACAUAGAACAUUAUGGCUCUCGGGCGACAAAGUAUAAAUCUUUGGAAUGUGUUUGGCUUUGGAAUAAAGAGAUUCUGGUUUGCAUGUGUAGUUGUUUUUACAUUUAGUUUUGUUAUAUCAACGAGUAUGUCUGUACAGUUCAAUUUAAUUAAAAAUACACGUUA